CCCGUACAAACCAUCAGCCGCCCCUAGUUCACCUAUCCUCCUCACGUUGCUCCAGGUCGUCACUGACCGCGCCGGUGCUAAACCUGUAAACCACCUCGCGUCGGGCCCCUCCUCGUCUAUGCCGAGCCGGGUGCCUCCCCAUCUAUCCCAUGCCGGCCCCUCCCCGUCUUCCCACGCCAUGCCCCUCCCGAUUCAGAUCUAGCUUCAUCCAGCGGUAAGCCAACGUGACGCGCAUGGAUCCAGCAUCAUCUGGCAGUGGGCACAGAUCCAGCUCCAUCCAGUGGUAAGCCAACGUCUAUCUCGUAUGGAUGAAUGGUCAAUGGCAAGACGGAGCAGAACACGGACGUGUCCUUCACACUUGACGACGGCACCGGCCGCACCGAUUUCAUCAGAUGGUACACUGUAAGUUUGCCUCUAUAAUAAAUCAGGAUCCAAACUAUGGCGCCAGAGGGACACAACAAUACAUUUUCUUCCUGCGUCUGAAUCUAAUCAAACGAGCAAAAAUAAGCUGAUGCGACUCAAUGGAUGAUCUGAAGCACCCAAAAGAAGUAGAGGAAAAGUCAGGAGGAGGGAACAAGAAGCUUCGGUUAUCAUUGAUGUUAUGUGUGAUCAAUAAAAACUUGUGCUUCUCAUCCAAUCUUUGUUGAACUAUGUUGAUGUGUGAUUAUGCACUUGUUGGGCCCUUUUGCUGUGCACCUACACUUGUAGAACUAUUUUGUUGUGCACUUGUUGGUCCUUAAAUCUUUAUGUGUAGAGGAGUCGAUAGAUGAUGUAUUGUAAUUCAUGUGAUGUGCUACUGAAAUGAAAUAUAUACAACUAAUUUGCAAUCUUUUA